rnacentral:rRNA from 1 species
AACGAACGCUGGCGGCAUGCCUAACACAUGCAAGUCGAACGAGACCUUCGGGUCUAGUGGCGCACGGGUGCGUCACGCGUGGGAACCUGCCCUUAGGUUCGGAAUAACUCCCCGACAGGGGUGCUAAUACCGGAUAAUGUCUUCGGCCCAAAGAUUUAUCGCCUUUGGAUGGGCCCGCGUUGGAUUAGCUAGUUGGUAGGGUAAAAGCCUACCAAGGCGACGAUCCAUAGCUGGUCUGAGAGGAUGAUCAGCCACACUGGGACUGAGACACGGCCCAGACUCCUACGGGAGGCAGCAGUGGGGAAUAGUGGACAAUGGGCGAAAGCCUGAUCCAGCAAUGCCGCGUGAGUGAUGAAGGCCUUAGGGUUGUAAAGCUCUUUUACCCGGGAUGAUAAUGACAGUACCGGGAGAAUAAGCUCCGGCUAACUCCGUG